AGGGUUUCCCGCCCACUGGCCGGGCCGCGGCGCUCCGGUCCCGGGUCCCUAGAAACGGAAGGGGAGAUUCACCGGGAUGGCGGCGUUCCCGGACCCCUGAAGGCCCUGACUCCGGACCCAAGUGGGAUCGGCGACUCCUCUGCAGUCCAGGAAGAGUGGAAUGCAGGGAUUGCUUUGGUCCCCAGAAAUGGUCUGGGGAAAGAGGGUGGGUCUGACUCUGGAUCCCUGGAGGAGAAUGACCUCAACAUGGCCCUUCAGUGUUUCUUGAGAAGCACAACUGCUGUCACUGAGUCUACUAAACUGAUCUCGAGAGAAGGACAGCAUCCAGUUCUGAUUCCUCCCUAUAACCUUAGCGUCCAGUUGCAAGAUAAUAUAUUCAUGAUUCAAGAUUCAAGAAGUAUGUAAGAAUGGAAAUACAGUGAAACGUUACCCUGCUAUUUGGUCCUCGAAUCCUCCAAUUCUCAAGAGAAGGAAUUAGUUUACUUAUUUUUAAUUUCUAAGAACUCUUUCUUCUCCAAUUCUUCCUUUUUAAAGUACUUCAUAGACACAAUAUCUUUUCUUUGAGUUUUGAGAAUAGUUAUUGUAGCUUUUUCCCCAUGAAGUUUUCAGAAAGCUCCCUACUUUGUUAUUGUUUCCUUGGUUUCAAUUUUCUAUUUGUUUGUUUUGGUCUUUCAUAUUGGAAGGUUACUCAGAUGUUUAAUGGUCCUUUGCUGUCUAUUCAUAUUUAACAGUGAGAUACCAAAAAGUGGAUUGGAAGCUCAGUCUAUUUACAAGCUUUAUUAUUAAUGAAUAGGCUUCACUGUAGGGUGAUCAUGUGGGGGGAAAGCUGACAUUUUGUUGUUGAAGAAACCAAAAAUGUCAGUGUCAGUAUGCAUAGGCAUUUUUUUCCCUGCAGUUGUUUCUUUUCAUACUGGAGGUUCUGUCAGUGUGUGCUGAUGUUGAGUCUCACCGCUCAUAUAUUUUCACUUAAUUCUUCAUUUUCAAUCUAAUACCUCACCUCUAUCCCCACUAUGCCUGCUGCUGAAUGCAGAGGCUCUGAUAGUUUAAGUUCCCCUGGACAUUCUGAAAUUUCAUGGGCUUUUUCAUUCAUUAUGCUGGGCACUCAUGGACAGUUGGUCUGGAAACUUGUGACCUUUGGGCUUAGGAAACCUUAAGUCUAUCUUUGCUAACUUCCUCCCUACCAUUUCUCCAGAGACGGAAUCUCCCAUUUUAUGCAAGGGAGUAGGGGUAAUCACUUGGCUGGAUCAGAUGAGGUUGGGACUUGGUGGGGCUUUUUCUUAUACAGAUCAUCGUGUAAUCUCCUUCCACCCCACCCCUAGUUCUCAGCGUCAGUCCAUACCCUCCUCUGAGGUGCUGAACCUUUUAUGGGUUCAGAAGGGCACAUUGGCUUACUUCUUGCCAUUAACUCCCUCAGCAGGUAGAACCCAACUCAUUCUACUCUGUUAAGUGACUGUUGACUGUUCUGUUUUUCAUCUUCCAAAAUGUUGGCAUCUCUCAUUCAUUGUCACCUCCUAUUU
rnacentral:lncRNA from 1 species